UAUAUAUAUAGAGAGAGAGAGAGAGAGAGAGAGAGAGAGAGAGAGAGAGUUGGACUGGGCUAUUAUUAGUAGCAAAAUUCUAUUGUUGCUAUCAGUUUUUUAGCCUUUAGAUCAACUCUUUUCAUUAUUUUUAACCAUUAGAUUAAAUACUAUAACCCAGUGGGGACCACUCAACCCUAGGGGGACCACUCAACUCUAACCGACUAAUAUCAUNNN
rnacentral:lncRNA from 1 species